CAGUAGCCGCGGUAAUACGGAGGGUGCAAGCGUUAAUCGGAAUUACUGGGCGUAAAGCGCACGCAGGCGGUUUGUUAAGUCAGAUGUGAAAUCCCCGAGCUUAACUUGGGAACUGCAUUUGAAACUGGCAAGCUAGAGUCUUGUAGAGGGGGGUAGAAUUCCAGGUGUAGCGGUGAAAUGCGUAGAGAUCUGGAGGAAUACCGAUGGCGAAGGCAGCCAUCUGGCCUAAUACUGACGCUGAGGUACGAAAGCAUGGGGAGCAAACAGGAUUAGAUACCCGAGUAGUCCCUGUCUCUUAUAC
rnacentral:rRNA from 1 species